AGUCGAGCGAAUGGAUUAAGAGCUUGCUCUUAUGAAGUUAGCGGCGGACGGGUGAGUAACACGUGGGUAACCUGCCCAUAAGACUGGGAUAACUCCGGGAAACCGGGGCUAAUACCGGAUAACAUUUUGAACCGCAUGGUUCGAAAUUGAAAGGCGGCUUCGGCUGUCACUUAUGGAUGGACCCGCGUCGCAUUAGCUAGUUGGUGAGGUAACGGCUCACCAAGGCAACGAUGCGUAGCCGACCUGAGAGGGUGAUCGGCCACACUGGGACUGAGACACGGCCCAGACUCCUACGGGAGGCAGCAGUAGGGAAUCUUCCGCAAUGGACGAAAGUCUGACGGAGCAACGCCGCGUGAGUGAUGAAGGCUUUCGGGUCGUAAAACUCUGUUGUUAGGGAAGAACAAGUGCUAGUUGAAUAAGCUGGCACCUUGACGGUACCUAACCAGAAAGCCA
rnacentral:rRNA from 1 species